rnacentral:sRNA from 1 species
ACUGACAUCACAACGAGACUAC